rnacentral:lncRNA from 1 species
GCGGGAGCCAUCGCUUCCCUACCCUGGGCCAACCAGGGCACCACAGACCCCCAGAGGGAAGCCAAGGUAGUGACGAUCCCGGGACAGUGGCCUGCUCACCCACAGAUAGGGCGUUGGGGUCCCAGCGGGAUUCUGGGCAGUGGAAGGCAGGUGCCGUCCGUGUUCCUGGCUUGACAGCACUUGCGAGUGGGACUCCAGGGACAGCGAAGGAUUCACUUCGGCUGGAGCAGGAAGAGUGUUUCAGAAAGGAAGGGAGAUGCCAAAGUCCUUAAAUGCCAAGUUUAGUCUCUGGGUUUGAUGCUCCAGGAAGUUUGGAGAGGCGGUGGGGAGAGCAAGAGACGGGCGUGGUGUGCAAUGUGAUGUCAAUCUAUCUAAAAACAGUUUGGCUUCCAAGAAGGUCUUAGCAGGGCGCGGGGGUGUCAGGGGUUACAGAAGUCAUUUGGAGGAUUAAUCCAGCCAGAUGUGUCCAUGGUCUCAGAGAGGGGACCAAGGGCAGGGCUGAUUUGCAAGCUUGGGAUGUGCUGUGUUUCCUUCAGGAAGGGGCCCCACCUCCCUGGGCUCUUCGAGGAGAGGGGCUGUGUGAUUUGAGGCCAGAGGGGCCUCUCCCUCCCUCACAUCUGAGCAGGCGACAAGGCUGCCUGCCCUAGAGCUGGCCCAGGGCGGCUCGGAAGCCUUUGCUGGGCUCUUCCCUGGGCAGUGGGACCAUGACAGACGAAAGAACCUGUUUCUCAUCUCUCCAAGCUGUGGGCACCCCUGCCGCUGCCCCUGCCCCUGCCAAGGGCUACAAACUUUUCCAGCUCAAGCCCAAAUCUCCUCAAGUGAUGCCUAUUGAAGAAUUCCAAGGUAAGAGGAUGGACCUGGGGCCCCAUCAGCCCUCCCUGACACCUGUUCCCCAUCCGCCGCUGGAAAAAGACGGUGCAGGAUAGAGGACCGAUGCCUGGCUCCGAAAACCCUCCUGGAGUAGCUGGGUCAAGGUUAAACUGAGUCUCUCUUCCCUACAGGCCUCCCUCCCCAAGGGAGCUGGGAGCAGGUAUGAGUCAGAAGCCAACUUGGGCACAGUGGGCAGGCCACACAGCAGGCAGAGCAGAUGCCAGAAAUAGCCCAUCCCGGCUCCCCUGGGAGGUGUGGCCCUGGGGCUCGUGUUGGUUGAAGCAGAAUCUGGGACACACGGGUCACC